ACGUUUACGCUGACUCCUCCAGUGCCUCAUCAAUGAAGUAAGCAGGCAGCUACGUUCUGGAUGGCUAGCAUGUACCGAAGGCACAAAACCUCCAGAGUUGGCAGAGUUAAGUCCUGGCGUGCCCGAGGCUAUCCAGGGGAACACGCGGGACAGACAGCACCCUCAGCCUGUCCCCAUGACCCUCUGCUCCAGUCUGAGGGGCAGGACACCAUGAGACCUCUCAGACACAGAGUCCACCCUCGACAUGACCCGGAUGAAAGGCAGGAGUGUGUGCCCUGCUUUUGCCCUCGAAGCUCGCUGAAGGGGACCCAUCUCUGCAAGCCCACAGCCCUACCUGCAGCAUCCACAGCCUCAGAGAGCAGCGGGGCCCCUUACCCCUGAACCCCCUCCAAGAGCAUCAGGACAACAAGCCUUGAGCUGUGGAGACAAGAGAAUCAGUAUCCCUGGCCCAGGGAGGAUUCCAGGAGAGGACACGGGCAGGAGCCCUGGCCCAGAGCCAGAACCAAGAGUCCAGCCAGCGAAACUGGAACUAGGGUCCCCGGCACCCAGGACUCUGCGAGCAUCCCCCAACAGCAAG
ensembl:lncRNA LINC00661 long intergenic non-protein coding RNA 661